CUGAAUUGAAAUUUUAUUGAGAAAAAGAAAAACGAAAAUAACAAAGAAAACCCGUUAAAGGCACAACAGACGCAAACAACGGGCUACGAAACUAUAACGGCGAGGACCCAGAGGGAAAAACAUCGUGAGAGGAAAAAAGAGUCAAGAAAUGUGCAGGAGCUCCAGAGCAGGAACCCCAUGACAAUCAAAAGUCAAGAGCA
rnacentral:lncRNA from 1 species